GGACAUUUGAUCUAGUGGUAUGAUUCUUGGUUUAGGUGCGAGAGGUUCCGAGUUCGAUUCUCGGAAAGCCCC
rnacentral:tRNA from 1 species